CUGAUGUGGACAGCCCCUGGCGUCCCCCGGGGACUCUGUCCGUGUGGCCAGAGGAGCACAGCUCUCAGGUGCCGUGGUAUAGCGUCCUGACCCACGGCAUUGAAGAUGAGCUUGUCCCCAGUCUUGGGACUGUGGAGGGCUCGUCCUGUAUAGUCAUUGUCUUCUCAGUGCCUGGUUGCUGAGGACAGAAACCGUAUGGGGCACAAUU